AAAAAAAAAAAACUGAAACAAAAGAUUGUCUUCAUAUCCAAUUGUUUUCACCGUGUGUCUUGCAAGAAGCAAGUUCUCUUCACUCUCUGAAGUCGCCCCUGCAUGUUUUUCGUGAUCCAUAUUUCUAUUUUACUUUUAGUUUUCAGAGUUGAUGGUCCAUUGUUUGUACUUCUGUGUCCCGGGUUUGUCUAUUGUUCAUUUAUUGUCGUACUGUAUGACUUUAGUAUGAGUAUUGAUUUUCAUUUUCAAACGUGUGGUUUUGCAAUGUUGCAUGUCCACAGAUGUUCAAACAUUGCCCCAGAAAAUAUUCUAAGAAUAUAAUAUGCUACUGGUCACAGAAAAAAAUGGUCGUUUCUGCAUAGAGAAUUGAACUUGAUACCAAGAAAUACAAAACUGGCGCUUUUUUGUAGAUAAAAUUAGAUAGCUGACAUGGUUAAAUUAAAGUUAGACCACCAAUUUCCUUGGUAUCAAAGCAUCUAUAUAAAAAAAAACAUCAAUGUAUUGCCAUAUGACCUUUUACAUUGAAGGAUUAAACUUGCAUUAAGUCGUGUUCAGACUCUUUAACAGUAAUAAAGGAAUGUGGAGGAAAUGUGCACGAGAC
rnacentral:lncRNA from 1 species